rnacentral:rRNA from 1 species
GACGAACGCUGGCGGCGUGCUUAACACAUGCAAGUCGAACGGAAAGGCCCUGCUUUUGUGGGGUGCUCGAGUGGCGAACGGGUGAGUAACACGUGAGUAACUUGCCCUUGACUUUGGGAUAACUUCAGGAAACUGGGGCUAAUACCGGAUAGGAGCUCCUGCUGCAGGGUGGGGGUUGGAAAGUUUCGGCGGUUGGGGAUGGACUCGCGGCUUAUCAGCUUGUUGGUGGGGUAGUGGCUUACCAAGGCUUUGACGGGUAGCCGGCCUGAGAGGGUGACCGGCCACAUUGGGACUGAGAUACGGCCCAGACUCCUACGGGAGGCAGCAGUGGGGAAUAUUGCACAAUGGGCGGAAGCCUGAUGCAGCAACGCCGCGUGCGGGAUGACGGCCUUCGGGUUGUAAACCGCUUUCGCCUGUGACGAAGCGUGAGUGACGGUAAUGGGUAAAGAAGCACCGGCUAACUACGUG